rnacentral:lncRNA from 1 species
AUAUAUUUCAUAUCGGACGCUAUCUUAGGAGUAAUGAUACAUAUUGUUAGUUAAAAACAUAUAAAUUAUCUUAUAAACAAGCUGGAAUUUUCAGUUUUACUCAAGGAUACAACUGCCACUCAACGCGAAAUAACGAAUUUGUCAUUACUCCGCGCAAUUUCGAUACUUUGACUGAUCGAUAUCUAGUAGAAUUAAAAAACGGUUUAGUGAAGGAUAUUGUUAAAAGUGAAGCAAUGGAAGAUGCAAAUUUGGUAACUGCAUUCGUGCUGAAACUAAAAAGUUUUAGACAAUACAUUAAUAGACAAGGAAGAGAAAAAUGUGUUGAAAGUAUAUUGUAUCUUGCUGUUAUGCAUAAACCCCCAAGAAAAACACUAAUAUGCGAUAUUAUGAAGCAUGGUUUCAAGAUAAAUAAGGGUACAAGCUUGAAACAGAAAUAUAAAAAAUGGUUCAGAAAAGAAGUAUUCUAUGUUUUGAAAUGCCAUCUUGAACGAGGAGGUGAUGGUCGUCUUUUAUCGUCUUUCUUCAAAACAUUACCCAAUGAAAUAUUGUAUGUGUGCGCUAAAUGCGGUGAUAAGACCAUCUAUAAAUAUUUUUUCAACUCAUAUCCUUGGUCAACAGUAUGCAAAAUAAUAGCCAGGAUAAAACGAAAAUUUGCAAACAGA